CAUUGAAAAUUCUGAACUCCUUCAUCCAUCUGUGUAAAGCACUAAAGCAAAACAAAAUGGUACCAUCUGCAGAGGAUUCUCAAGUGAACUUAGCUGAAAGUCUAGCUCCAUCACUUACUGACUCUACAGACAGAUCAAAGGACUUGCUUGAUACAUUUCACGGGUCUGCAGCUCCUCACAGAUGAGCCUGAAGCAAGACCAGCGGUCCUCACCAGCACUGACUGCCCACUCCCAAAUGUCAUGGCUGAGGCUGGAGCUGCCAGGCAGCUAAGGCUGC
rnacentral:lncRNA from 1 species